rnacentral:rRNA from 1 species
AGUGAACGCUGGCGGUGUGCCUAAUACAUGCAAGUCGAACGGCAACACAGUAAGCUUUCGCCCCUACCGUUGGCGACUGGCGGGUGGGUGACGAAUACAUCGCCAUCCUCUUUUUCGUGGGGGAUUUCGUAGGGCCACAUACGCUACCACCUCAUAUGUUCUACCGCUGAAUGCAGUGGAUCUUCGCAGCUUUCCUGACUCUAUUAGCUGAUGCCGGAUUAGCUAGUUGGCGGGGUAAAGGCCCACCAAGGCGACGAUCCGUAGCUGGUCUGAGAGGAUGAUCAGCCACACUGGAACUGAGACACGGUCCAGACUCCUACGGGAGGCAGCAGUAGGGAAUAUUGGACAAUGGGCGAAAGCCUGAUCCAGCCAUACCGCGUGAGUGAUGAAGGCCUUCGGAUUGUAAAGCCCUUUUAUUGGGAAAGAAAAGCAGCAGGAUAAUCCACCGCUGUUUUGACGGUACCCAAAGAGUAAGCACCGGCUAACUUCGUG